CCGUGCAGCCGGGGUGGUAGCAGGACCCUGUACCUGAAAUCUGCUAUAGCAGGGGUGAUGCUUUGGUUGAGGGCUUGAUUUUAUGGAGCAGCCCAGUAAAAGUGGUGAUGACGUUUGGGUCUCUCGCAAUAGAAAUCUACGAAUCAUGUCAGGUCGGGAACGAAGCAGCAUUAAGUAGAAGCUUCUGUGUGCCGAGAGGUUGCCUGGGCCGAGCUAACUAGACUGGUAACGUCUGUGGAUGAUUGUUCGAGGCCAGAGCGCGCGG
rnacentral:SRP_RNA from 2 species